AACGAGCGCUGGCGGCAGGCUUAACACAUGCAAGUCGAACGGGUGUAGCAAUACAUCAGUGGCAGACGGGUGAGUAACACGUGGGAACCUUCCUCGGGGUACGGAACAACUCAGGGAAACUUGAGCUAAUACCGUAUACGUCCGUGAGGAGAAAGAUUUAUCGCCCUGAGACGGGCCCGCGUCGGAUUAGCUAGUUGGUGGGGUAACGGCCUACCAAGGCGACGAUCCGUAGCUGAUCUUAGAGGAUGAUCAGCCACACUGGGACUGAGACACGGCCCAGACUACUACGGGAGGCAGCAGUGGGGAAUCUUGGACAAUGGGCGCAAGCCUGAUCCAGCCAUGCCGCGUGAGUGAAGAAGGUCUUCGGAUUGUAAAGCUCUUUUGCCAGGGACGAUAAUGACGGUACCUGGAGAAUAAGCCCCGGCAAACUUCGUGCCAGCAGCCGCGGUAACAC
rnacentral:rRNA from 1 species